rnacentral:rRNA from 1 species
AUUGAACGCUGGCGGCAGGCCUAACACAUGCAAGUCGAGCGGAUGAAGGGGGCUUGCUCCUGGAUUCAGCUGCGGACGGGUGAGUAAUGCCUAGGAAUCUGCCUGGUAGUUGGGGAUAACGUCCGUACACGGGCGCUAAUACCGCAUACGUCCUUAUGGAGAAAGUGGUGGAUCUUCGGACCUCACGCUAUCAGAUGAGCCUAGGUCGUAUUAGCUAGUUGGUGUGGUAACGGCCUACCAAGGCGACGAUCCGUAACUGGUCUGAGAGGAUGAUCAGUCACACUGGAACUGAGACACGGUCCAGACUCCUACGGGAGGCAGCAGUGGGGAAUAUUGGACAAUGGGCGAAAGCCUGAUCCAGCCAUGCCGCGUGUGUGAAGAAGGUCUUCGGAUUGUAAAGCACUUUAAGUUGGGAGGAAGAGAAGUAAGUUAAUACCUUGCUGUUUUGACGUUACCAAAAGAAUAAGCAACGGCUAACUUCGUG